AAUCAACGCUGGCGGCGUGCCUCAGACAUGCAAGUCGAACGCGAAAGGUUCCUUCGGGGACCGAGUAGAGUGGCGCACGGGUGAGUAACACGUAGGUAAUUUGCCUUUGGGUGGGGAACAACUCAGGGAAACUUGAGCUAAUACCGCAUAAUGCAGCGGCUCGACAUCGAGACAGUUGUUAAAGCGGGGGAUUCGCAAGAACCUCGCGCCUAAAGAGAAGCCUGCGGCAGAUAGCUAGUUGGUAAGGUAAUGGCUUACCAAGGCGACGAUCUGUAACCGGCCUGAGAGGGCGGUCGGUCACACUGACACUGACAUACGGGUCAGACUCCUACGGGAGGCAGCAGUCGGGAAUUUUGGGCAAUGGGCGAAAGCCUGACCCAGCAACGCCGCGUGAAGGAU
rnacentral:rRNA from 1 species